rnacentral:rRNA from 1 species
UACAGAGGGUGCGAGCGUUAAUCGGAAUUACUGGGCGUAAAGCGCGCGUAGGCGGCUUUGCAAGCCGGAUGUGAAAUCCCCGGGCUUAACCUGGGAACUGCAUUCGGGACUGCAUUGCUAGAGUAUGGGAGAGGGAAGUGGAAUUUCAGGUGUAGCGGUGAAAUGCGUAGAUAUCAGGAGGAACACCUGCGGUGUAGACGGCUUACUGGACCAUAACUGACGCUGAGGCACGAAAGCGUGGGUAGCAAACAGG